rnacentral:rRNA from 1 species
AUGGCGGCGGACGGCCAGGAUCCCCCGCUGGCGGACGCCGCCGCCGCCGCCUCCGGCGACGACGACGCCGCGGCGGCGGACGCGCUCCUGAGCCCGGCCUCGGAGCAGCUGACGCUGCUGUACCAGGGGGAGGUCUACGUCUUCGACCCCGUCCCGCCCCAAAAGGUCGCCCCUUCUGCACCGUUCGCUUCAAAUUUUUUUCCCAUUGCUUUCGCUGAACCGGCCGUGUUGACUUUGCCUGCGUUGGACGGAGCAGCGGGCUCCGAAUUGCGCCGAGGAAAUAUACGUUUAUUGGUUCAAGCUGCUCUGUUGGUGCUUGGAGGGUGUGAGGUGCCUCCUGGUUUAGUAAGCAUGGCUGGGCCUACUGCAUAUGGUGAAAAGAGUACAACUGUGGCUGCCAAAAGGGUUGCUUCCUUAAUGAGGUUCCGUGAGAAGAGGAAGGAAAGAUGUUUUGAUAAGAAAAUAAGAUACGGAGUGCGCAAGGAAGUUGCCCAAAAGAUGAAACGGCGUAAAGGACAGUUUGCUGGAAGGGUAGAUUUUGGUGAUGCUGCAAGUUCUUCUGCAGCUUGUGUCUCUGCAGCCGAUGGCGAGGAUGAUCAUUUCCGAGAAUCCCAUUGUCAAAAUUGUGGCGUCAACUCAAGGCUUACUCCAGCAAUGCGUCGGGGGCCGGCUGGCCCAAGGACCCUCUGUAAUGCUUGUGGCUUGAUGUGGGCAAAUAAGGGUACUCUGAGAAGUCCUUUGAAUGCCCCCAAAAUGACGGUGCAGCAUCCCGCCAAUCUGAGUAAAAUGGAGAGUGUGGAUGAUGACAAAGCAAUUGUUUGUGCUGAGCCUAAUCAUACCACGGUCAAAAUGGACUCUGGGAUGAGUCCGGAACAAGAACAGAAACCAGAACUGCGCCCAGCGACCGAAGGCGACAGCAUGGCUGAUUCAUGA